rnacentral:ncRNA from 1 species
UAGGCUUGGUCCUGGCCUUUCUAUUGGUUACUAGUAAACUUACACAUGCAAGAAUCCCCACACCUGUGAAAAUGCCCUCUAGCCAUAUUCUGACCAAAGGAGCUGGUAUCAAGCACACUAAGAUGUAGCUCAUAACACCUUGCUCAGCCACACCCCCACGGGAGACAGCAGUGAUAGAAAUUAAGCAAUAAACGAAAGUUUGACUAAGUUAUACUAAUAAGGACUGGUAAAUUUCGUGCCAGCCACCGCGGUCAUACGAUUAGGCCAAACUAAUAGACAACCGGCGUAAAGUGUGUUUUAGAGUACACUCACUAAUAAAGUCAAAUUAUAACCAAGCUGUAAAAAGCCUUAGUUAUUGUAAGAUUCCUGACGAAAGUAACUUUAAAAUCUCUGACUACACAAUAGCUAAGACCCAAACUGGGAUUAGAUACCCCACUAUGCUUAGCCCUAAACAUAAAAAAUUACAAACGAAAUUAUUCGCCAGAGUACUACCAGCCAAAGCUAGAAACUCAAAGGACUUGGCGGUACCUUAUAUCCUUCUAGAGGAGCCUGUUCCGUAAUCGAUAAACCCCGUUACACCCCACCAAUCUUUGCUAAAUCAGCCUAUAUACCGCCAUCUUCAGCAAACCCUAAAAAGGAAGAAUAGUAAGCACAAUCAUUAACAUAAAAACGUUAGGUCAAGGUGUAGCCUAUAGAUUGGAGAGAAAUGGGCUACAUUUCCCAAACAGGGGAUAUAAUCACGAAAACUUAUGUGAAACCAUCAGUUAAAGGUGGAUUUAGUAGUAAAUUAAGAAUAGAGUGCUUAAUUGAAUAAGGCCAUGAGGUACGCACACACCGCCCGUCACCCUCCUCAAACAACAAAUAUUAAUUUAUCUAUAAAAAUUUUAAAUAUUAUAUGCAAGAGGAGAUAAGUCGUAACAAGGUAAGUGUACUGGAAAGUGCACUUGGACAACG